UGCUCAAGGAGCAACAGGAGACAAGAUUUAUCAGUUUAACUUGGAACCAGAAGCAGCAUCCCAAAGACAUGAAAGGUCACUCACACACAACAGCAAUCCCUCAAGAGUGCACUCAUAGGCUUUUGGAAGGGCAAAUUACACAUGAGAGUGACAGCUCUCAGAGAACGAGACGACCAACAGCCUUGCCAGACUCUAGUAA